rnacentral:tRNA from 1 species
ACUUAAGUAGUUUAAUUAUAAAAUAUUGAUUUGUGGUGUCAGUGAUAUAAAAUUUAUCUUAGGUU